CUUCCUUCCAGCUGUGGUCGGGUCUGUUCCUUUGUAGGACGCUUUUGUGUCUUUUCUCCUUCCCUCUCUUGCAGGUUCCUGAAGCGUGACUCCCUGUCACAGAGCCAGUAGCCAUCUCUCCUCCCCCCCUCCUCCCGAGUGCCCUCUCACACACAGCCUCAGAGCAGCCACUGCCCCCAGCCCGCCCCACGCAGCUUUGCUGGUCACCAGGGGCCUCUGCCAGCAGUAGACAACACCCCUGCCCUGCCCCGAGGAUCCCGAGAUCUCAGUGGCUCACAAGCCCUCCCUGGGAUUAGGAGAACUUUAGACUCCACUUUAAGGGACCACUGCACACCAUCCCCGUUGGCUCAGCACAGGGUCCCAGGCACCAUCAUCACUGCUGUCGAUAGUGAACUUAAUGCCAGGAAAGCACAUCGACCAGACUGCCCCCCAACCCCCUGCUGAGGAGCACAGGCGCCCCCCGGGGCCGCUUUUCCACAGCUUGAGUCGGGGAGAAGAGACUUGUAGCCGAAUCCUCGUUCACGCUGCAUGCCUUGAUACUUGUACACUGAGCCCAAAGCGGCGUUGUCUGAGCACAGACCAGGUGUGUCCUAAACACGGUCUCUCUCAGCCUUUGCGCCCUCCCCUCCGCCCUCUGCCCCGGCUAUUUCUACCUGAAUGAGUUUAAUGGUGCAUGAGCAUCUUUUUUUUCUUUUUUCCAUUUUGUUGAUUUUUUUUUUUUUAAUUUGUCUGCUUCAUACCCUCGCAAACAAGUCAGGGGCCACCUUCUAGCUCCUUAGUGAGGGAGAGCAGCCGAGGGGGCCGGCCCAGGGUAACGCUCCUGUUUCUCUCACCCAUCAGCAGAUUAAUGCCGCUGCUCAUUUUGCCUUGCAGCCUCUCCGGGGCGGACGCUGAGCUGGGACUUGGCUCAGAGUGGGAGGACAGGACCUCUGCUUGCUUCCCAAUGCUGUGUUUGGACUUGCCAACUAACCCCAGAGUGACUGUGUUUUGUUUCAGGAUGGCACACUGGCUGGCAUCUCCUUUCCAAUCUCUUGUGCCCGGCGUGCAAGCCCCACCCAGCCGCGCUGGCCCCAGCCGUGCAGGAAGGGGCAGGCUCUUUGUGACUUCCAGCCUCAUGGACAGCUUGGGUCUCCCACCCCCAGUGCUUGGGUCCUCUCUGUCCAAGCACAGGGGUCAGGGGCAUGAGCUCUGGGGUAAAGGGGCAUGUCCAGUGGCUUCUUCAGGCCAAGGGAGGUCUUUGUGCUACCACUCUUGGCAAAUUCUGGUGCUGGCAGUGACCAGCAUCCUAGGGCUUUGGUCCCUGCUACAGACCAGCUGGAGAGCACAGAGCGGGCAGGAUGCAGGGGCAGGUUGGUACUCAGUGAUGGCCCAGCCCUGGGCUAGAGAGAUGCGGGCCAGAGGAGCACAGGAGUCCUUUGACUGUCUUUAGAGACCUUACGUGUAAAACCAAACUUUUUCACAACAGAGGACACCACUUGGUGAGAACCCAAAAGUCAUGAAGGCUUCUUAGGCCAAAAAAGAAGGAAGAAGAACAUUCCAGGCAAAGGGUGGAUUGCCUGGAAUGUUCUAGAAUACAAAGAAUGUUCUGGAAUGUUCUAGAACACUCCAGACAAGGCAUGGGUUGCCUGGAAUGAAAAGUUGGGACAGAGACCAUCAUAAGCAGUGUGGAGGGAAAGAGAGCCUUCCCAGAGAUGGGUGUGAGCUGGGGUGAGGUAGGCAGGCAAGUCCAAUCCCUGGGCUACAGCCCUGGGCUUGGUCUGAGGAUGUGGGGACCAUCGAGAGCAGUGGGAACAGGAUGGCCACCUGAAGGUGAAAGAACUGUAGGAUGUGCCUCAGUGACCCUAUCUGGAAAGGAUGGGGGCGCUGGAGCUAAGAGGCAGUCCCUGGAAGGGAGAGGGCACCCCCUCGCCCCCGGGGAGCUAAGAGACCUGGGUCCUACACCGGACUCUGCCACUUGUCCUAUGACCCUAGGCAAGUCACGUCCUCUCUCUCAGGCCUCAGGUUUUCUCAUCUGUAAAACAGGAGGUUGGUUCCAACGACAUCCAGGUUUCCUUCAGGCUCCAGCAUCCCCGAGUGGCAGUGUCGGGGGGUGGGCACGGCCAGCCCUGCAGAGGCUUCCCAUGUACCAGCCCCAGGAUGUGAGAAAGGUGAGGUCACAGGGUGGGACGUGGGUCCAAGGACCACUGUCAGGGCAGAGCUAGCGGGGACGGUUAAUUGAGCGUCUGGCAUGGCAGGCUUGUGGCUGACGGAUGCCCAAGUAGAGAUGCCUGGUAGGCAGCCAGAUAGAUGGAUCUGAGCCCAGAGAGGUCUGAGGUCUGGGGAGGCUCCAUGGGCGUACAGGAGGGGCACUCACGGAGGAGGGGAGGCUGAGGCCGGGCCCAGGGGCGCCCCUGUGGUUGAAGGUCCCAAGGUUAAUUUGCAGCCAUUUUAAAUUCUACUUCCCUUGUCCUAACCUUGGCGUACGUACAUCAUCGUUCCUGCCCAUAGCUGCAAACGAGUUCCUCCUGUGGGCAGGAAAGUAGACUCUGCAGAGAGGUGAUGUCCUCUCUGGCCACGUAAAAUCCUGGAGAAGUGCACACUCUCAGGAGCAGCUGGUGCUACCACGUGAUUUCAGUCUGCGUGCGACCCUGGAGACGGCGCAGCGGCCAGGGUGGCCCAGGAGGAGAGACUCUUGUCUUUUUUCCCUGACAAGGCCACGACCCAGCCCACAGGGAGACGUGUAGAGAUGUCUGAUGUCAUCCUGAAAAUCCUCCCACUAACCCUCAGAAGCAGGUACCUAGGCUGUGGCCACUUGCCCCCGUCCCCGGGAGCAGGCCGUGUCCUCUGGAGUGAGGAGCACGGGAGGGGCUCCGGGCGGCCACGGAGAAGAGCACAUGAGGCCGUCAGGAGGCGCAGAGCAAAGCGGUGCUGAGACCCCCGGCUGCCUCCGCACCCCAUUGUCAUCCCAUUGAGUCCCUGUGACAAUCAGAGGUGAAAGCACGGCAGGAAGAGGAGCCUCGGCUUUGUCCUCGGACAAUGUGUGGAAUAGGGCUGCGCCAUCACCACACCUCGCUUGCAUCCAGGCCGGAGGGGACCCCACCAGGAUUCUGUGGACUGAGCCCCAGGCUUCAGGAAGGGGGAAGGCCAUUUUGAGUGGCCAUUAGAGCUAGUGGCGUUCUGGGGUUACAGCCUCCCAAGUCCAGAGGCACUUCUCAACCCCUCUGAGCAGGGCCUGAAUCUGCCCUGGCUGUUUUGGGGAGCCCAUGAAGAAGUCCCUUCACUUAUCCCCAGGAGCCAAGGAGCCCUCAGGCAUGGUUGGUGCCACUGGAGGCAUUGGCUAGACUCCCUGGCCCGGCAGGCUGCAGGCCCCAUCCCAGAGGACAGGGAUAGUCCUUCAGAGAUCACAGACGUACGGCCCUCCCUGCCAGCACCUGCGAACGUGGCGCCCAAGCCUGGGUGGGACAACAGGUGGAGCCCGGAGAAGAGCUGCCCCCAUCACACCAAGCGGGACAGAGACCCGGCACUCUACCUUCCAGCCGAAACCCUCUUCUCACCAAGUCUGUUGGAGCCAAUGGCACAUUUGAACUCUAUUUUCUUUUUGUAUUAAAUGAAAAUGGAUGGACACAC